rnacentral:RNase_P_RNA from 1 species
CAAACGUUCUAUUGCUUGUUGUGAGUUAAUUGUAAUAAGAGGAAAGUCCGGGCAGCGCAGAGCAACAUACUUCCUAACAGGAAGAGUUAAUUAUUUUAAAUAGUUAAUAUAGCCAGUGCAACAGAGAAAAAUUUCCUGCAUUUAUAUGCAGGUAAAGGUGAAAAGGUGGGGUAAGAGCCCACCAGUUUUGGUAGUGAUAUCAGAAGCUGUGUAAACCUUAUGUGCUGAAAGAUCAUGUAAACCAAGGAUUGAGGGUUGCUCGCCCAAACUUGGAGGGUAGAUCGAUUGACGCCAGUCGCGAGGUUGGUGCUAGAUAAAUAAUAGAUUUAAACAGAAUCCGGCUUACAAGUUUGUUUU